GGUAAAAUGGCUGAGGUUAGGCAGUAGGCUGUAAACUUAUUAACGAAUUAAAUUCUUUUACC
rnacentral:tRNA from 1 species